AUAGACAGGGCAAAAACCCACACAGGCAUGAUUUAGAGGACAAUUCUAAUGCCAAAAGUUGAAAGCAACAUAUGGUAUGGCAUCUAGAAGAUAGUUAGGAAUAUGGGGCUUAGUGAAAGAACAAUUACAGGUCAAUACAAAGAAAAGGGAGAUGACAGGUGACUUGCUUCAGAGUGCUUCUCAGCAGCACACUCCAGUGUCCAGAGACCAGGCAGAUGUGAGGCUACUCACAUGGAGAUGUGAGUCCAGCCUGGAGAGGGGUUUUCAGUGUUUCAGCUCUUUGGAUGUGAACCUGACAGUUUUCAGUCACCUACCCAGUGCAUUCUUCAGAGGAACCCAGUAAUCCACAGAUUCUUUUCACUUCCCAAAAGUCCAUCUUGUUGGGAUCCUGAAGGAUCUAGGCAGUCUCAGCAGGGAGGUGGUAUCUUCUUUGCAGUUGAAGGCUCACUCCCCAUCCCUGUCCUCUGAGGAGGAGGAGACCAGAAGGUCCUCAUAGAGGACAUUCCAUAGGACCUGGGAGCUGGCUCCCUCCCCUUAUCUUGAGAGGCUGGGCUCAUACAAGUAUGUGUUUGCUUCUCAGUGGGAUGUCCUGGGGCUCCUUCUAUGAACUUGGAAGUCCAGCAAUCACCUUGGUCAAGUUGAAGAUCAUCCUCAGGGGUUGGCCUACAACAUGGGGCGCUGAUGGCUCCUGGGACCCAGUACAAGGUCUGGCUGAGACCAGGGCAGCUGUGCUCUUGAGCCUUGGUUGGUCAGUUCUGGGCCCCUGGUCUUUGCACUCCACGCUGAACGCUUGACCACGUCCGUCUCUUUUGGGCACAGUCCUGGGGUGAUGUGCUGAGGUACCUUGAAGCUGCUGGUGGAGUGCAUCCAGUGGGACUGUCUUUCUGCCAUCCUGCCUGAACAGGGUCUUGGGAUCUUCAGUGACAGCCGUGGUUUGCCCUUGCUCCUGCCUGGAGGGCAACAUGCAGGAACUUGCAAAACUUUUCAUGGGAGGGCUUCCAGGGAACAUCUCUCUCCACAGAGACUUUUUGGCAUGUGGCACUGUGGUCUCCAUUCUGUCUGGUAGCACCCUGUUUGUUUCCUGCAAUGAACCUCAGCAUCUUUGAGUGCUGUGGAGAACACAAACACAGGCAGAGUUCAGGACCACACUGACCUUCACUAGACGGGUAGUGAAGGCUUUCAGAAAAAAAAACAUGGUGUUCAUAGGAUCAACACUCCAGAAUUGAGUCUGUCUCUGGUCACAUGGAAGUCAAAUCUGCCAGACUGUCAUGUCCCACACCAGCUAUCCUAAACCUGUAGCAUAGGCAAGUUCGGCAUGGAGAAGUGAAGACUUAGAGCCUGCCUGCAAAGUUUAGGUCAAGGAUAUUCUGAUGACUCAAAGGUACGUGCCUGUGUCUAAGUGCUUUCUGGUAAGACCUAUAGAAAACUAGUUAUGUCUGGAGAGGCAGGGUGUGAGACUCCUGUGGCCACCUGGAAACAGUUAGCUUCAUUACCAGGUAUCUCACUCCCUAUGGAGACUUGUAAUCAUCAUACAUGGGAUGAGAAGCCAGUAAAACACAUUUUUACAUGCCAUACCUUGAAUGUGAUUCUCAAAAUGGUUUUGGGGUCACUAUGUAGCAAACAGAGUGGCAUGGAAGAAACUCCGAUAUGUAGGUGCCAUUUAGAGUUCUCUGAUAAGUGUCUGGAUUUCACAAGUAUCAGAAAACAUCAUUUGCCAGCAUGAGGAAAAUCUGUGGACAGACAGGAAGGUAAGAUGAAAGUCUCCAGCACAGACCAUGUGUGAAACAGGCUUAAGAAAGAGGACUUGGAAUGUGAUAUCCAAGGUCAUUCCCAAGGACAAUUGAGGAAGUACCUGCCCAACCUCCAGGACAGCUGGUCUACCCUGAGAACCAUAGAGCAGUGGCACACUCAUCAGCAUCGAUCUGAAUUCUGAAACAGACCAAGUAAAUCCCUGGUCCAACAGAUGUUUAUGAAAGCCAACAGGAACAGGGGACAUCAGGAAAUCUUAGCCAAUAUGCUCAAGGUGAUGGACCCACAUUCAGUGAGUCGAGAUGCUUGCAGAUCUGGGGCCAUGGAGGCCUUCCACCACAGAGAGCCCAGAGUAAGCCAAGAGGGUCCAUGGCACAGAAGGUUCCCCCACUGGAAGAAAAGAACCUUGGGUGAAAUGCAGAGGCUGUGGAGCCUUUGGCCACACCUCAAGGAGGAGGUGGCCAAUCAAGCGUCUAUGGGUUCCUAGUGCCACAACCACUGGAAGCCAGGAAGGAGGAGAACAAGGAUCCUCACAGGACUCAGGUUUCUGGACGCUGGAGACCAUAAGCCAGGCUGUGAAAGACACACAGAACAAAAUGACCAACCAAGACUCCACAGCCGAACUGCCCUGGUUUCAGUCAGCCCUUGAACUGAGUCCCAGGAGCCCUCAGCUUCCCAUGUUGCAGGGCAACCGCUGAGGAUGAUCUUCACCAGGACCCAAGGGGAUUGUUGCACUUCCAGGUUCAUGGAAGGAGCCCAAGGACUUCCCCAUGAGAAGCAAAAAGCUCCUCCUGACAGCACUGCUUCUCAAGAGAAAGGGGAGGGGCUCGCUCCCAGGUCCCAUGGAGUGGCCUCAAUGAGGAGCUUAUGGUCUGCUCCUCCUCAGAGGACAGUGAUGAGGAAGUGAGCCUUCACCUGGAGAGAAGAUGGCUGCCCCCCUGCUGUGACUUCCCAGAUCUAGGGUUCCAACAGGAUGGACUUUUGCAGAGUGAAAAUAAUCGCAAUGGAUGACUGCGUUCCACUGCAGAAUGUACUGGGUAGGUGACUGAAAUCUGUCAGGUUCAUGUCCAAAGAGCUGUAACACUGAAAACUCCUCUUCAGGCUGGAAUCGCAAAUCCACACGAGUCGACUCACCUCUGCCUGUACUCAUGACACUGAGCAGAACUGAAGGACCCUCACCUGUAGUCUCCCUUUCCGUAAUCAUUGACCUGCAGUUGAUUCUUUCUUUAAGCCAGGGGUUCAUAACUACCUUCCCUAUGCCAUACUGUAGGAUGUUUUCAACCUGUGCCAUUAAAAUUGUCCUCAUACCA